GAUACUGGGAGCCUUUCCGCCAGAGUGAUGAUGGAUCAUCAGCUUCACUCUGUCAGAUAGAAAUCUUAAUCUUGAAUAACUGAAGCUCAGGUAUCAUGCAAGACCACUUCUAUUCAUCCAAAGAUGACCGUCUGUAUAGAAGCUGUCAGCAGAGGUCCCUACGGUCUGCCAAAACCUGGAUCUUCCAUUCUCCUGUGAGGAUAUGAGGAUGGGCAAAAAUUGUCCCAUCAAGCGCUCCAGUGGCUUCCAAGUGAUGACCAAAGGCCCAUCUCUUCCACAUCCACCAACAAAAGAUGUGCACUGUGGUUGUGAAGAGUAUCUACGGCCACUUCCAUGGCUUCUGGGGACAGCCAAGGCACUGCUGCUCCCACCUCCCCAGGGUUCCACACAGGCUCUCAAGGGUAAGUGUGCCCUCUCUUUGGGGAAAUACAGUAUUAUUCCAUUAAACCCACAAAACCACAGAAAGAAUUUUUCUUGAUCACUCCAGGAGCACUGCCACAUCCUUAUUUAGGUGCUUUAUAAUGAAAUGCGUGCACCUGAAAUACAUCAGAGGUCGUAUGGCUAUGUGCUGUAUAUUUCAAAUAAUUACCUUAGAGAACACGGGGUGAAAUUAGAACUGAAAAACAUGUGUGAGUGAAUCUGGUGCAGAUAAAAGGAUUAAAUGUAACCUUUCUCACCUGGAAAUACUCUUCACCAAAUCUCACUAAGACUUUUCAGAUACGUUUCAUUAAAAUAAUUCUUUCAGUAAUUAGAUUUAAUUCUACUGUAAAAUGGAAGUUUCUGCCUGACAUUCCUCUAGACUAAUACAGAAAUGUAAAGAAUUUGGAUUGCUCACAGUGAGCAUGUUUUUCUUCUGUAGACAUUGUCCUUGUAAACUCCCUUUAAAAAGCAGAUGCCAACAGCUUUCCCCUCCCCUCUUUUAAUAACUCUUUUAGUUUAAAUUCAUAAAAUGUAUGAAUGUGGAGAGGGCCAGAGGGGAAAAACAAAGAAUCGAACAGAACCAUACCACACAACUUCCACGGCUUUAUAUCAACAGAUGAUAUAAAUGCUACAUAUAUAUGUCUAUCUACGUUAUUAUAUAUAAACGAAGAUCCAUUUCUAACCAAGUUUUCCUGUCUUGUUUUAAAAUGGCAUCCCUGGAAGAAAGGAAUAGAUUGCAAUAGUUCCUUAGUUUCAGUUAAAGCUUUUAAUUCUUUAAUGCUAAUCUAGAAACUACACUGUUCCAGUCAUUGUUCUCUUAGAGAAGUUAAUUUUUCUGUUACUGGACAGUUCCUUUUCUGUUUUCAGUACCGCAAUCAGUUUGUUUUUCAACGUGGUCUUUAUCUCACAAUAACUGUAUACUAGUGUGUCAGGAUACUGUAACACUGCAGUCAAUAGCAACAGGAUACGCGCU
rnacentral:lncRNA from 1 species